UUUUUAUUUUUAUUUUUUCUUUUUUUUAUCAUACUUUAAGUUUUAGGGUACACACUAGACUCAGGCUCGCAGUCUCUCUCACUACCCGAGGCAUGAGUGUGAGGGAGGCUGUUUGUAUUCUAUGCUAAUGCUUUUUUUUCAAUGCUCAAUUCCCCUCCCCCCGCCUUUUUUUGUUUUAACUGUCUCACAUUUCAACAUUUCCAUAUAACCAGCUAAUCUGAUAAACCCAUACUUGACAUACGGAAAAAGUCAAGAAAAGCCUAUUUGUGGGCUAUCUUUGUCUUUCUAGGUUCUAAGUGUCAAACGAUAUUUAAGAGUGUUUGUUUGUUUGUUGUGGAGCCAUUUUCGUUGCUUUUGUGAUAUAAUAGAAAAAUGGGAAGUGAGCUAAGCACCGUGGCUCACGCCUGUAAUCCCAGCACUUUGUGAGACCUGAGUGGAUAGAUCAUUUGAGCCCAGGAGUUCAAUACCAACCUGGGCAACAUGGUGAGACCCUGUCUCUACAAAACAUACAAAAAUUAGCUGGGCAUGGUGGUGCGCACGUGUAGUUCCAGCACCGUGGGAGGCUGAGGUGUGAGAAUCACCUAAGCCUGGGAAGUCAGGGGAAGUCAGUGCAGUAAGCCUUGCGCCACUGCACUCUGGCCUGGGAAACAGAGCAAGAGGCUGUCUCAAAAAAAAGGAAAAGAAAAAGAAAAAAGGGAAGUGCCUCUUUCUGGCUUCUGGCCUAGAGGCUGUGCUUCCAUGACUGUGAGAAUGGCCACCCUGCAGGCUGCAACCCUUUGUAAGAAAUAAAGCUCUCCUUUCCAAAUUUAUAAACCUCAUCACUCUUCAGUUGAUGUGAUUAAAAAAAAAGUUAUGCUAAAUGAAAACUUUACAUUAAGAACAGAGAAAAGUUGCAUUAAGAUAGGCAAUAAAUGGAAGGAUUUAGGACAGUCUUGUUUGAACACAGGGUGUGUGUAUCUGUGUGUCUCUGCAUGCAUGUGUGUAUGUGUGUUUGUGUAUGUUUAUGUCUAGUUUGUGUAUGUGUGUUUGUGUAUAUGUCUUGUGUAUAUUAUGUCUGCAUGCAUGUGUGUAUGUGUGUUUGUAUAUGUUUGUGUAUGAUUAUUUGGUUGUUUCACCAAAUCUCUACCAGAAUGUCAAAUGUGACUUAUUUUUACGUAGAAUAUAUAUAAACUCUGAAUCAUUAUAUUUAGCUUAGUUGCUAAGGCAAGUGUAAUUUAUUUCCUGCUUUUAUCUUUUACUUAUAAAUAUAAAAUUAAAUAAAGGAGAAUGUUUUGUAAUAAUCCACAAAUAACUCUCAAUAUUUUAUAAAAUAGUUACAAAUACCAUGGAAGUUGUUUAUUGGAAUGUGGCUUUACAGUCCCUCAUAGAAGUAAUUUUAUAAGAGCAUGAUUGAUAAUAAUGGUUACUAUUCACUAAAUUUCAACAUAUGUAUGGCAUAUCAUCUCUUUUUGUCAUAACAGUACUGCAGGGAAAUUAUUAUUAUCUCCAUUUUAUGAAUGAGAAAACUUAACAUUACAUGACUUUCUUUUUUUUUUUUUUCCUUUGAGACAGAAUCUCACUCUAUUGCCCAGGCUGGAGUGCAAUGGCGCAAUCUCGGCUCACCGCAACCUCCGCCUCCCAGGCUCAAGCAAUUCUCUUGCCUUUGCCUCCCAAGUAGCUGGGAUUACAGGUACCUGCCACCAUGCCAGGUUAAUUUUUGCUAAAAAUACGUGACUUUCUUAACGUUGUAUAACCAAACAUUGACAGAGUCAGCAUUUAAAAGGAAGUCUCUCAGGUUUAACAGGUGUUUAUACACACAUGCAUGCAGACAUAACAUACAUAAGACAAAACACAGGUGUGUGUUUUGUCCACCAAACCAGAGGCUUCCUUGGGGUUGCAGUUGUACCCAUACAAUCUGAUUUAUCUCCCUAAUAUCGUAUUACUAAGUUAUAAUAUUUAUAAAAUAAUAAGCCCUAAAGCCAAGUGUAUCGUAUUUAUUCGAUAUCAAACUCAUUCUCAGUUCUAGCUACAGUGACAGGAACACAUCUACCCUUGAUGCAAUUCUGGCUACACUUAAGUAACAGAGAAGAAAGGGGAAAAAGGAAGGGAAGAAAGGGGAUAGCUGUGGCAGGGAAGAAAGCAAAUGUGAAAUUCCAGUAGAAUCAAAAAUGGUAAGAGCAUCUUCAGCUAUAGUGAGGAGGAACCAGGCCACCAGGGCUGCAGCUUUAUACACUAAGGGGCCGUUCUUACUAAAGAGAUCUUUGUAAGAAAAUUGGCAAUUAAUGAGUCAGAAACCGCUUAUGAUUUCCUACUGUAGAAAUGCACCAAAUGACUUGCCACAAACUUGAACUCACAAUACUUGUUCAUUCAGAUCACUUCUCUGAUUCAAUAAAAAUUGUAAUUCAACUUUACAAAGCAUUAGCUAUUCAGCCCAUUUUGCUGCCAGCAUAGAACCUUUUUCCUUAGGUCUCAGGAAGGCCAGGAACCAUCUAGGUCAAUAGUUAUCAACCUGGUAAGCAUUUCCAAGUUAUAUAGCCUUCCCUUCUUAGUGAUACUUCACUUGGGGAAGAAUACAAGAAUGGAUCACAGAGAUUCCAGGUGGGAGAAACAGGCAUUCUACCUAAUGUUAUAGGAUCCUCAGAUGACUAAUAUGCAAGAUCUCUUAUGCCAUUCUCACCAGUUUCCCUGCUUGUUGAAAACACUAAGCUAGUCAUCCCCUGCUGUGGCCAAAGACCUGAACCUAGACUGUCUAACAUCUAACCCAGUAAACCUCUCUGUGCUUUCAUUUCCUGGCUUGUAAAAUAUGGGUAAUAGAAUAUAUUCAUAACAUUAUAGAGAGGUAACUAAUUAACAUAAACAAAGUACAGAUGGCCUGACUUAUGAUGGUUUGACUUAGGAUUUUUCAACUUGGUUAUAGUGCAAAAGUGAUAUGCAUUCAGUAAAACUGUACUUUGAAUUUUGACCUUUUCCUAAACUACCAGUAUGCAGUACAAUACUGUCUUGCCAUGCUGUGCAGCAGCAGUGAGCCACAGCUCCCAGCUAUGUGAUCUGAGUAUAUUUAAGGUAGGCGAGGCUCAGAUAUGAUGUUCAGUAUGUUAGGUCUAUUACAUGCACUUGCAACUUACAACAUGUUGAACUUACAUCAGGAUGUAACACCAUUGUAAGUUGAGAAGCAUCUGUACUUCGAACGGCAUCUGACACAUAGAAAGUUUGUUGUUGUUGUUGUCAUUAUUAUUUUAUAGUGAGAAACUGAGGGCUGGAUAGACCAAAUGACUUAUCUUACUUAACUAAGGGUUCAGAAUAGAAUGCAGAUUACCUAAGUUGAAAUCUAGUGCUUUUUCAUGACACCAGUUGACUCUCAAACUGAAGUUAAUACAUGUGUUUCUCAUUUUCUUAGCCUGUUUGUAUCUACCCGAAGUUAUGCAUUUAAAAGGAUCUUCACCAACAUUACUGGGAGGCAGUAAUUAUUUAACUAAUUUAAGAAAUUUAAACCAUUUUAGUUUGUACCUCAUAAUAUUUUAGGAUUUUUUCCCUCAACAGAACAAUCGAGAACAUUAAAAGAGAGCAAGCUCCACGUCACUCAACUGAUGCUACCACCCAGGACAGAAAUCAGCAGUUUCUGUUUUUCUACUGACCAGCUUUGCAUUAAACACUGCAAAUGGGAGAGCUAGUCCACUGAACUCAUGCAAGCAUUCAUUUAUUUAUCCACAAAAAGCAAAAUAUGGCAAGGGGAAUUUGGGAGGAGUGAAAUAAGGGUUGUCAGACUAACAGUGACAAAUGGGAUGCAAUUGUUCUCCAAAAGCUUGGAGCAGAGAAGUCUUCCCUUUUCCCCUCCCCUUAAUCCCCACUGAUUCCACCCUGCCUGCACACAGAGAAGGUGGUUAACAGAGGAAAGCCCCGUGAAUAAGCUAUGACAGCCCUACAUUCAGAAACUGAUGUCAUUUCCCUAAAUACUGUUUGUAAAAUGGUAAUUAUCUGCCAAGCAAUGACAGCUGGCACUUAGCAUAGACACACAGAGAGACAGAAAAAGAGAGAAUGAGAAAAAAGGGUCCCUGCAUAAUUUACCAAAGGGCUGAAAGAGAGAGGGAAACAUAAUCAGAAAAAUAAAAUGAUUACCAGUGUGUGAUGGGGUGAAAAUUGCUUUGGGCAUUUUUUUUUUCCUUUAGAGAGCACAGGAUUGAAUUGGAAGAAUGAAGCUGGAGCUCCACGAUGCACACUGGAAGAGAGGAGGUUGUGUUAAGGUGGCGGUAAAAGGAGAAAUACACCAAUGGUGCUGGGCUGUGGCAAAGCAGCAGGAAAACUCUGUGCACACCUAGCCCCUCAAACAGGAACCACUCAGCCCAGCAAUACUUAAUAAUACACCCAAGAUUGUUUCCUUUAGUUCAUUUGGGUUCAAGAUAUAAUAUAUUAAGUACCUCUUGCCCCCUUCCUUGUUAUUUAUGUGAUGGUCGGUUUUAUGUGUUAACUUGGCUAGGCUGUAGUGAUCAACUAUCCAAUGACACAUUACUCUAGGUGUUGCUGUAAAAGUAUUUUGUAGGUAUGCUUGAUGUCUACAAUCAGUUGGCUUUAUGUAAAGGAGUUGAUCCUGGAUGAUCUGGGUGAGCCUGUUCUAAUCAGUUCAAAAGUCUUAAGAACAGAACUGAUGUUUCCCUGAGGAAGAAAAAAUCUCCCCUGUGGAUUGUGGCAUCAGCUCCUGCCCAAGUCUUUCCAAAUUGUCCUUCUGAUGGCCUACCCUGUGGAUUUUGGACUUGCCUAGUUAGCCCUCACAAUCACAUUACGAUCCCUUGCAACAAAUCGAACUCUCCUGUCUCUCUUCACUCACACAUGCGUGCAUGCGCGCGCGCGCACACACACACACACACACACACACACACACACACACACCCCAACUUGUUCAAUUUCUCUGGUGGUACCCUGACUGUUAAACUUGUCAAGUACCUGUGCAGUGAUUUGCUCAGCUAAGUGAAUAUGUUAUGGGUUGAUUUGUCAUAAUCCCCUCAAAAUCCGUAAGUUGAAUCCUUAACCUCCAGUACCUCAGAAUAUAACCUUAUUUGAAAGUAGUAUCAUUAUAAAUAUAAUUAAUUAAGAUAAAGUCAUUAGAAUGGGCUCAAAUCCUACAUGAUUGGUGUCCUUAUAAAAAGGGAAGGUUUGGAGACACAAACACACAAAAGGAGAAUGCCAUGUGAAGAUGAAGGCAGAGAUCACAGCGAUGUUCUACAAGCCAAGGCACACACCAGAGAUCGUUAGCAAACCACAGGAAGAAAAAGAGAGGCAUAGAACAGAUUCUCCCUCCCAGCCCUCAGAAGGAACCAAGCGUGCUGCCACCUUGAUCUUGGGCAUUGAGCCUCUAAAACUGUGGGAGAGUAAGUUUCUAUUGUUUUAGCCACUCAGUCUGUGGUACUUUGUUACAGCAGCCCUAAAAAACGAAUGCAGCACAUUACCAGGAAAAUCGAGACAGUUGAAUUGGGGAAAGUUAAGAAACAUACAAAGUUACAAAAUUUUCUGAGUAUUACAGAAAGCUCCAUUUCCUUACUGCUUUUGAAAUACAAACUUAUUCCCUUUUAUGCAUAACGGUUUUACUGCCAAUAGCUACCCAAGAAAAGACCUGGAUGAUUAAACUGACAAUUACAGAGAUGUACAAAUGUUCCAGAAAUUUUUCAAAGUAGUUCUUUUAAAUUCCUGGAAUCUGGUCUCUUUUUGGAUAACAGAUGUUGUAGAACCUUCUAUAACUAUUCAUCUCUCUAUUUGUGUCCUCCUGGAGUGUAGCUCUUCAGUUCUGUCUUACAGGAAAAGCUAACAAUCACCACCUGGUGUCCCUUCCCCUCUUCUAGCAAGUGAAGCUAAUAGAUAUUCUGUAAAAGGAAAAAACAACGGCCGAGCAUGGUGGCGCAUUCCUGUAGUCCCAGCUACUCGGGAGGCUGAGUCAUGAGAAUUGCUUGCACCUGGGAGGUAGAGGUUGCACUGAGCCUAGAUCGCGCCAGCCUGGGCAACAGAACGAGACUCUGUCUUCAUAGAUAGAUAGAUAGAUAGAUAGAUAGAUAGAUAGAUAGAUAGAUAGAUAGAUAGAUGGAUGAUAGAUAGAUAGAUAGAUAGAUAGAUAGAUAGAUAGAUAGAUAUAAAUGGAAAAGCAACAGUUGUGCCCAAUCUUCCACAAAUAACUUGCAACCAGGCAGAACAUAGAACCCAGGUCUUUUGAUGCCAGUCACAUCCAGCUGUCCUUCCAAGACAUUGUUUCUAUGCAGGUGUUGAGUCAGCAGGCCAGAUAAUUCCUCCCAACGUUUAUCUAAAUACAGGUGUUUUUUCUAAAAUGCAGGAAUGUGAAUUUGGAUAUAACAUUCGUCUUUGUGAGGUGUAAGUUUCUUCUUUUAAAAAAAAAUGCAUCUUUAUUUAGUCCUGACAUUUCAAACCAACAGAAUCAGCAUCAGUAUAGUGAAAGGUUAAAGUCCAGCUAUUGUCAGUUUCUACAUAUGUCAUAUUGGCCAAUUUACUUAACUUUAUUAUACUUCAUUUCCUCAUUUUUAAAAUGAGAAAUGGAGUGUUAUCUCUUUCACUGGGUCAUUACAGGGAUGAAAUGAAAUAACAUGUGGAAACAUGUUAUAAGCUCUAAAGUGGUGGAAAGAAGAUAAAAAUAAAGUAGUAAUGUCACAUCUGUGAUCUUACGGUCUCCUUUCCUAUCCCAUAUUGUAGAGGAUAAGCCACACUGAAUGUCCAUUCAGUUUACAUCAGACUUGUUUGGGAAAGUUACAGUUUGCGUGGGUAUAUCCAGAUCAUUAUGUUUUUACAAGCUUCACAGUCUGACCUAGCAUGAAAAUUAAGUACAUGAAAAGUAUUUCAGAGUCUUGUAGUUAAUGGACAAACUUAGAUAUCCCUAAUAGGUGCUUCUAAGCACUUAUCAAACUUUUUCUUACCUCUUACUCAUCUGGUUCCUUCACUACACUGUAAACACUUACGAAGGCAAGGUUAUAUUUUCAUCAUCCCUAUAUUCACAGCAUCAGUCUUUAAAAUGUUUUGAAAUUUAUUUGUUUAAUUGAUAAGCAAAAAUGUAUGUAUUUAUAAUGCAUAUGAUGUUUUGAAAUAUGUAUACUAAAGAAUAUUUGAAUAAAUAUGGUCUUAUUCAAUUUUACUUUGGCCAUAAUCAUUUUCAAUAAAAAGUAUAAAAUUUUUUAAAAGUUGACGAUGUAUUACUUAAUUGUAAUACAUAAUGUAUGUUUAAAACUAAUCCAUUACUAAAAAUAAUUGACUAUUAUAAGUAAAAAUACCUUAAGCCGUUGAAAGUUUAUUUACUAUUGAUCUAUUAAUUUACAUAAUUCUUCCAUGUCUAGCAGAGCCCACUGAUUAUAAAGUAAUUUACAGAUAUCAACUUUCUAGGCUGUGAAGGCUUCUGAAAUUAUAAGGAAGAGACAGUUGUGCCGAAAUUGUGUGGUAUAAAGCUGUCAAAAUUUGAAAUAUAGUUAUAGAUUUCAGAAUAUAAAUGGUUGUCAUCAGAACAAGAUUACAAGUUUCAUGGGCUCUGAAAAACUUAGCUUAUUUAACACUGAAUCAAUGACUUCACAACCAAACUGAGUUAAAACACUUCAGAUUCUGAAAGAAUGUGCUCAUUCAACUUACAAAGCAGAAUUUCAAAAUAUCCAGCGUGUUUGGCAGGAGGUGACACAACAGGCCAUUUUGAGGAACAUUUUGCUUAGCCCAGUUUUUCUCAGAUUUAAUAUUUUUCAUAUUUUUGCCAUUUUCACACACUGUCUCCACUAAUAUUUUCCUUUAAAUACAUUCUUUUUAACAUAUUUACCAUAAUUGUAAAAUUAUAUUACUGUUAUAUAUAAAAGAUAAGCAUCACUUAUUACAAAUAAAUAGGACAAAAACUGCAAAAACAAAAUAAUGGUAUCAUUGUCUGUUUGGAUUCAGUUGAAAGCUCUGAGCCUUAGUCCUACACUGCAACUGUUUUUUUUUCUUUUUAAAGAGAAAUUUACCAAGUGUUUAUAAAUGUGUUAAAGCCUUAUUAGCACCAAACUUAGACUCCUCUUGGUAUAAUCAGAUGGUUGAAGAGAUGUGAAAAGAGAAUAACUUUCUCACCACGUGAUUCAGUGCUAUGUGAUACCAUGCUGUGUCAUGUCCUAUCUCCAAUUAUUUCACGUAGCACUUGAAGCAAAACUGGAGUUGCAUAUUAAGUGUUUGGAAUUUUAUAAGUUCAAGUACAUGUGCACUUACAAUAUUUACUUGUUAUGUGGAAUGUAUAGGAUUUAAACUGAAAAGACAAACAUGCAGAUUUUUUACACCUAAAGACAAAAGCAGGUUGAUAACUAGUAUGGAUGACUUUAGAAGAAGAAAGUCAUAUCAGAGCAGAAAGAAUCUUAGAGGCCAUCUGUUCUAAAGGUGGGCAAACUGAGACACAAAAGUGUUUUCUUUUUUUUGAGAUACAGUUUCGCUCUGUCGCCCAGGCUGGAGUGCAGUGGCACAAUCUCGGCUCACUGCAACCUCCGCCUCCUGGGUUCAAGUGAUUCUCCUGCCUCAGCCUCCCAAGUAGCUGGGACUAUAGGCAUGUGCCACCACGCCUUUGUUGUAUUUUUAGUAGAGAUGGGGUUUCACUGGGUUAGCCAGGUUGGUCUUGAUCUCCUGACCUCAUGAUCCACCUGCCUCAGCCUCCCAAAGUGCUGGGAUUACAGGCAUGAGCCAACGUACCCGGUCCCCAAAAUGUUUUUUUAUUGAUGGUCAUAGAACUAAGAAGUGCCCCAAGCAGAAAUGGAACCCAAUUGUUCUUGAUGGUCCAGUUCACUUCACCAAGAUGAUCCUGUUCCAUCUGUUCAUGGUGGAAGCAGUUAAUUUCAUAUGAUUUUAUACUCUUAUUAUUUAUAUGAGAGUAGGAGGUUUUUUAAAAGAUAAGUCCUACUGAGGAAAGAAAAUUUCAAAUGAACCAUUGAUAAUGGUUUGGCUGUGUGCCCACCCAGAUCUCAUCUUGAAUUGUAGUUCCCAUAAUCCCUAUGUUUCAUAGGAGGGACCAAAUGGGAGGUAAUUGAAUCAUGGGGGUGGUUCCCCUCAUGUGGUUCUCAUGAUAGUGAGUGAGUUCUCACAAGAUCUGAUGGUUUUAUGAGGGGCUUUUCCCCCUUUACUCAGCUCUUCUCCUUCCAGCUGCCCUGUGGAGAAGGUGCCUCUCUUCCCCUUUACCUUCCUCCAUGAUUUUAAGUUUCCUGAGGCCUUCCUAGCCAUGAGGAACUGCAAGUCAAUUAAACCUCUUUUCUUUGUAAAUUACCCAGUCUUGGGUAUUUUUUCAAAGCAGCAUGAGAAUGGAAUAAUACACCUGUGAACUUUAAACACAUUUUAUUGUAACUUAUUGUAACAGAUCUUAGUAAUUGUUUAAGAAGACAAUGCUAGUUGAUUACCCUAGACAAGAGAAAGAUAUAGGUCCCUCAUUAUUGUCUUUAAGGAUUCUCCUGUGCUUCCUGAAAACUUGGACACAAGUAAGUAAUAACUUUUUGGCCAUCUUUGGAAGGAUUUCUUUUUGUUUUGUUUUGUUUUGCUUUUUUAGAGAUGGUGUCUCACUCUGUUGCCUAGCCUGGAGUACCGUGUUGCGAUCGCAGCUCACUGCAGCCUUGACCUCCCAGGCUCAAGUGAUCCACCCACCUCAGCCUCCUGGGUGGCUUGGGACUACAGGUGCACACCAUCAUGCCCAGCUAAUUUUUAAAAAAAAAAUUUGUAGAAACACGGUCUCCCUAUGUUGCUCAGGCUGGUCUUGAACUCCUGACCUCAAGGGAUCCUUUUGCCUCAGCCUCCCAAAGUGAUAGGAUUACAGGCAUGAGCCACUGUGCCCAGCCAGAAGGAUAUCUUUUUAAAAGCAUUGUGUAUCAUCUGACUUUUUGUACAAAUAUAUUCUCCAGCCUUUUUUUUGGUGAGAGGGAUGUUGCUACUUGAUUCUAUUUUUUCAUUAGGUACAUACCUUUGAUGGGAUAUUUGUUCUCAUUUGAAUUGCUUUAUUCUGUAACUGUUUGGCUUCCAUGCUUUUAUUUUUUAAAAAAGCAGUCUCACUUUUUGUUUUUCUUAUUCCUUCUCCUCUUAUUCUUCUUUGUCUUCUUCAUCACCACCACCAGAGAUCAUUGCCUUAAUGACGUUUACUAGGGCUUUUCAUUUCCUUCCCAGUCUCUAAGGUAUUUUUUUGGCAAUGGGUGAAAAGUCCUGACAUUCUGAUUGCUAUUCGUAUUAGUCCGUUCUCACACUGCUAUAAAGAUAUUACCCAAGCCUGGGUAAUUUAUAAACGAAAGAGGUUUAAUUAACUCACAGUUCCACAUGGCUGGGGAGGCCUCAGUAAACUUACAAUCAUGGCAGAACGCAAAGGGGAAGCAAGCUUGGACCUUCUCACGUGGCUGCUGCAGGAGAGAGAAGAAUGAGGAGCGAAGGGGUUCUUACCUUAUAAAACAAUCAGAUCUCCUGAGAGCUCACUAUCACAAGAACAGCACGGGGGAAACCACCCCCAUGAUCCAAUCGCCUCCCACCAGGUCGCUCCCUAGACACUUGGGGAUUAUGGGGAUUACAGUUCAAGAUGAGAUUUAGGUGGGGACACAGCCAAACCAUUUCAGGACUUAACAGUUCUAUGUUAUUGACACCUGCCCAGCACUGUGACCACUCAUGCCUCAUGCACUGAGGAGAGAACUGAGGACUUUCAAGGUCUCUUAUAGACAAAUAGAGUUGUAACUGCUUGUAAAGCACUUUGCUAAUACAGAGUGUGAAGAAAUGAUAAAUACGAAUGAUUAUUAUUGACAGUGGUGAUUGGCCAUCAUCAUCUCUUCAUUUCUGGCUAUUUCUCAUGCAAACGCUAUUUUAGCUUAAAUUUUUCAACCUUGAAUCCAAUGAAUCUAAUCAGAAUGAAGGAAACAGACCUAUUUCUAGCAAUGUUAAACAAAUGAUGACUUUUGUGUUCAAUUAGUUGGUUUAUAGAGACUCAUCCAUUUUUAAUAAAUUGAUUUUGUUUAUUUUUUCUAUUUUAUUUUACAUUUGAAUGAAGUGGGUUUACUAUAUGACUACAAAUGCAUUUGUGUUCUCUCCUACUCAAGCUAGCCUCAAUCCUAGAAAGUAUAGUCCUAGUUCUGCUGCAAACUAUGAUGUAUAAAAAGAGUAUAAAAUAUUAAAUAUUAUACUUUUUAGCCAAGUUACCAAUUCUAUCAUUCUUAUAGCAGCAUAGUUUAUACACAAUAAUAAAUUUUUAAAAAAAGGAUAUAAGGCAUUGAACUGUCUUCAUGCCAGAUGAGAGAUAAUGGUUUAAGUAUGAAAAAAACAGUUGAAUCACUUUCACUAUGUUGCUAUGUGAUUUGAGAGAAUUUCUCAGCAACUCUUUUUCCUCUGUUUCUUCAUUUCUAAAAUGCAGAGAAUACUUAAGCCAACUUUUUUGUAUGUAUGUGGAAUACAUGUAAAAAAUACUUGUACAUGCAAAUAUAAGCUAAUAUUCCUAUUACUGUUAUUGUUGGGUGUGAAAAUCACCACUAUACAAUGCCCUGAAUUACAUGUUGUAUAUUCCAUCAAAUGCUUACCGCAAUCCAGGGCUAAGAAAAUGCACAAUUAUCUAUACAGAGUGACUAGAGUUUAAGACUCCAAUAAGCCCUUAUCAUGUUCAAACAAAAGUACUGAUUUAACAUUCCAGGCUUUGAUGUCAGAAGUAAAUUACAGAGUAGAAUCAUGCUUUUUUGGUAUAAGUAAUGGUAUAUUUCAGUCACAAAAAUAGUAUUUACUCUUUCACAUUGAAUGAGGAAUAUGAUAUCACAGAGGAUCAAUAAAAAUACUUUUUAUACUUUAUAAGAAGAUAAAAAUUCUAACAUAAAUGACCACCUCAAGGCUUAGAGGAAUUUAGGCUGGAUCUAAAACCAAACUAAACUCUUAGCGUAUAAAAAUUCCAGUAAAAUCCAUGAUUAUGUUUUAUAAGAUUAAUACUAAAUUUCACACUUUAAAAAGUCAUAGUCAAAAGAAAUAUUAUUCAAUUAUUUACUAAGUGCUAGUUAAAUUUCUGCUAUACACUUUUAUUUGGAACUUACGUAAGUCAUAUGUAUGACAUUUUAUUUAUUUAACAAAUACUCAUUAUUUACCACAUUUUAGUUCUCAGAUGCUAUAUAUGAGUAAAACAUGCUUAUAUUUACCGCUACCCAUAUCAUACCACCUCUUAGGCCAAGAAUUAUCUGAACAUCUUGCUGGUCUUGUUUUUUGCUUGUUUAUACUGCAGAUUUCUAUUUAGACUGAAUAAUAUAAGAAUAAGAAGUGUUUAUGUAUGAACUGGAAAAUGAUAAGAAAACAAACAGAUAAAGUUAUUUGCAAAUAUAUUUUUUCCUUUUAAGUUUUAUAAACCUUUCUAAGUAAUAAGGACCAGAAGCUUCCACAGCAUCAGUUCAUUAUUAGCACUGAUAUGAAAUGGUUUUAUAACCUUCAGCAGAAUUUAAGGGUUUCUGGUAAGAAUUUCUUCUUACUGCAGAACAAAUUGCAUCUCUUAUGGUUACUGUACAUUUGCAAUUGAUGAGCCAUCAGAAAAAAUCUUGGAAAAGUGAUGCAACCGGUAACUUGUAUUAUUUUUUUUUUAAAUGGAGUGUUUGAAUUAUUUAUUGAAUCUAGGUCAUGUGAGUCACUUCCACUUCACAAAUAAGUUGAAAACCCUACAGUGAAGAAAUAGGUACUUAAUUAGUGGGUGAAGGAUUUUUGAAAUAAGAUGAGACAUCGAGUUUGUUUCUUACUCUUAAUUUGAGCCAAUUGUAUUAGAGAAAGACUAAUGAAAUCAAAAAUGACAAAGCCCAAUGUCAAAAAAAAAGUAAAGAAAGCCUUAAUAGCCAAUUAAUACUAGUUCAGGCAUACCACACAGAACAGAGACCAAGGGCUUGGGUGUGAGGAUAAGAAUUUCAGAGAUUCAUUCAGUCCUCUAGACAUAUAUUUUAUGUUUCCAUCAAUAGCCAGGUACUAUGCAAGACACUUAGAAUGUAAUGGUGCAACUGAAAGACAUACGCCUCGUUCUUACAGAGUUUACAAACUGGUUGAAGAGGCAGAUGAUAAAGAGAUAAACCAAUCAAUAAAUAUUUAACUUAAUUAAAAAGAGUACUAUGAAGGGAGGCUCUUUUUUUUUUUUUUUUUGAGAUGGAGUCUCGCUCUGUCACCCAGGCUGGAGUCCAGUGGCGCGAUCUCGGCUCACUGCAAGCUCCGCCUCCCGGGUUCACGCCAUUCUCCUGCCUCAGCCUCCCGAGUAGCUGGGAUUACAGGCGCCCGCCACCACGCCCUGCUAAUUUUUUGUAUUUUUUGUAGAGACGGGGUUUCGCCGUGUUAGCCAGGAUGGUCUCGAUUUCCUGACCUCGUGAUCCACCCGCCUCGGCCUCCCAGAGUGCUGGGAUUACAGGCGUGAGCCACCGCGCCCAGCCGGGAGACAUGUUUACGCUGUGCUAGAGAUUAAGAUAAAAAACAUACUUGAAGGUUAAAAGAAAAAGAAGGAUACCUUCAGAAAGUAAUGUCUAAUCUGAGUCUUAAAUGAUAAAAAGGAGAUAGCAUGCAAAGGCCAGCAGAAAGCAUUCCAGAUGAAAAUUAAAAAGCGCAUGGUCUCUGGGAAGAGCUUGGUGUGUUUGAGGAAUUGAAGUUUAGGCAACAUAUGCUGACCUUUGGCAGCAACGAGGGGAGUGGUUUUCAAUACAUUUGAAUGUAUAGGAUCCAAAUGAUAAAGGAAUUUUAGGCUACAGUAAGGAAUUUCGAAUUGUUUACAGAGAAAUGUGGAAUAAUUAGGGCUACAGAAGGAUAGAUUAAUAACUCUGGAUGUUUUGCUAAGGACUCAAUACAGUUGGGUGAAGUGGAAGUAGAACGACCAGCAAAUAGGCUAUUGCCAUUUGUCCAGGCAGAAAGGGAUCUAUUUUUCCAUCUGGUUUUAAUUAUUCCCCUUCCCUGUCUCCCCUCCUGCUUCUCCUAUCUCCCCUAAAGAUGCUUUUCCUGUUUUAAAGACAUAACCCCAGCUCUCCAAUAACUUAACUGACUUCUAGGUGUUUCAAUCUACCCUUCGAGGUGAGUAGGACUGACCCCAUACUAUGUUAUCAGACUGUUCAGGGUCAGGAUACCUUUCUUAGCAGUCACAGUGAGUAGGAAAUGCUCCUUGUAAACACAGGAAACAGAGCCACUGAGGCAGUCAGCUAACAUCUGCUAGAAAAUGAGAUUUGAGUUACAAGAUAAAGUUCAAACACCAAUUUUACCUAACAGCGAUGUUGGUACUAAAAUCUUAUAAAGCUUACAAUCUGAAAUGCACCUGUCCCACUGAUACUCUUUGUGAUGUUCAUUAAAAAAACUAGGUGGAAUAUUGAAGUUAAUAUCUUUAAGUGAAUGUGUAUAAACAUUGUGAUAGAAAAAAAUAAAAAUUUAUAAAUAACUUCUAAAUUUUGUGUCUAAGCAUCCCCUGUGCCACCUGUAUACAUAACUCCCUGUUUUCCUGUUGACCAUUGUUUAAUAACCUGCUCUCUGGAUAGUUUUAGGUUUUUACAGUUUCACAUAUGGUCCCAUCUGCUGGCAAUUCAACUCCUAUUCAACCAAGAAGCAAUCGAACUAAGACCUGAAAGGAAGAAUACAGCUGGAGGCCUUGAAUGCAGCUCCACUGGGACUGAAUUUAUAUAGGGUACAGAGGGCUACUACUGAGUUUGUGCAGAGAAGUGCCAUUUAAGAUACUGUUAAAGGAAGGCAAACAGAGGGAAGAUUUGUUUAUUAAAUGCCUACUCUAUACCAGGAACUCUACAUAAAUAGUCUCAUUUAUUCUUAUUAGUUCUGGUAUUAUCCUCCUUUUAUGAAAAAAGGUAACUGAAUCUCAGCUUGCUUGUCUAAGUUGACAUAAUAAAUGGCUGUGCUUAUUUAGUUCUAUGGCAGUCAUAAAUAGAAUCAAGAUUAAUAUAAAAGGAUUGAUUGUCUUGCCUUUAAAAGUCCGUCGUCUGCCCCUAAUGAAUACUUUACCUACUUUAGUUUACUGAACCUGCCAAACCGGGAAGUUAUAAAAUACAAGCAAGCCUUGUCAUACAGUUUUUGAGUCAGAAAAUAUAUUCAUGUCACCUAGUAUCAUUAUAGCUUUCUAUCACUUAUGAUGGCAAAAAUAAGUAUAUCUGAUUCUAAUAAGAAUAUGAAGAAUCAAAAAAAUGGAAAAAUAUUGAAGGGAAAAAGACGUAAUUCUACCAGAAAAAUCACGACAAAACAUCUAACAAAAUAACAUAUUUAAAUAAUAAAGAACCCCUUUUUUAAAAAGCAGAUUGAUGAUGAUUAUAUCUAUAAUUAUGUCAGGGGAGGCAUAAAAUAGGCAUAUUUGUAGAGCUGUGAUUAGUAUAAACAGGGCUGGGUAUGAGCUGAGUCAUCUCCUUGCCACUGUAUUAAAACUACAAAAUAAUAAUUCCAAGUUUAAUACUUUAAAAUGAUUUAUUAACUAGGUUUCAUAAUCACCAAAGGUAACUUAUUUCCAUGUUAAACUACUCUUUAUUCAGAAAGUUGUCUUUAAUAUUUAAACUAAGUUGUAACUAUUGUAGUUCAAGCCCAAUCCACUCAGCUCCAAGUGUCUAGUGGGAAUCACAGUUCCCUUCUCUCAUUUGUAGUAUCUCUUUCCUAGGUGUAAAUAGUUACUCUGCUUCUCUGUUAUCUUUCCUUCUGUCUGAGCAUGCCUGGUUCCCUUAAUGUUUCCUUAUAGAUCUCAUUUUCCAGGGCUUUUAUCAUUUUUGUUGCUCUCUUCUGAACUGAUUUAAACUUAUCUAUGAUUCUUUUUCAACUGAGGAACAAACACUAAACACAGUUAUCCAAUUGAGGCCUAAAGUGUGCUUGUAGAACAAAAUAAUUACCUCUCAUUUUAUCCACGUUCUCCCUAUUAAUAUACCCCAAAGCAGUGUCUGGGAUUUUAUAUGACACCAUUGUAUUGUUGACUUAUUGUCAAUUUAUCUUUCAUUAUAGCUUAUAUCUCCAUCCCCGUGGAACAAUUGUUUGUGCGGUUUAUAUUUGUUUUUAUUGAAUCCUAUUUUAUUGAUUUCAGCCCCACAUUCUAUUUAUCAAGAUGGUUGUUUGUAAUACUAACCUCUAAUUUGCCUCCAACAGUACAUGAUCCCCAAGUUCUUAACUGUGUAAAUGAUUAGCAUACUUUCUGUUUUAUCUCACCAAAUCUCUGAGUACACAGCUGAAUGUGGGGUUUGUUUUUGUUUCGUUUUGUUUUUUUGACUAACAAAAAAAGUUGUGAUAGAAUUUAAAAUAUUUCCCCUUACUGCUUAUAGUGCUAACCUCAAAAGCUAUGAUUUUGGGUGCCCAUGAUAUUGCUGAGACUGUUUGCCAUCAUAUUAAUCCUUUAACAAUAUUCCUGAGGUCUGAUUAACCCAAUCUUACAGAGAAAAAGACUCUAAGGGCCAUAGAUGUCCAGUAACUUUCUCAGCACGUAACUAGGAAGGAGAGGAGCUGGAACUUGAACUUGGUCUGUUUGGUCUUACCACCAAGUACUUUCCAGUACACCUGUAAAUAAUUCAAUUCAAUUCACAACUAACAGCUUGUUAUAUUAAUAAGUUUCUCACCCAUUCUGCUAUUACUGGACAGGAUUUUAUGAAAACCAUGACAGUGUUUUCACUCCAGGGAGUCUUCUUUUAGAAAGAUGUUGUGGGUGCUAUGAAUGAUGAGGCCAUUGUUCCUGGGCACAGAGAUGAUUCCAGUGACAAAAUUACUGUUUACUAUGUGAAAGCCAUGGUAUCUGAAAGCCUAACAAAUAGAGUUGAUCAUAGGUUGUUCCCGCUCCUUUUGCUAUAUUAAAAAACCAUUCCAACUAAGGCAAUAUGAUAAUUAACUUGACUUCUAUUUGUUUCUUUGUAUCAAAGUGAUUGAAUCCAAACACUAUCCAUCCAAAUCACUGGCCUAAGUCAAUGGUUGCUAAAUGAGGUGCUAAGACUCUGCUGAGUAUUUUAAAAGUUCCUAAAGGAUGCUGUAGAUUUUAGUAUACUAGAAUGUAAAAAGUACAAUGCAUGUUUAAUUAAGACUUUAUGAGCUGACUGUGUGACUUGCCCACAUCAGCAACUUAGCCCUGAUCUCUUGAAAUCCAAAGUGCAUAUAUACUCACUUAGCUGGUGAUUGCUGAAUUCAGCUGCUUCAUGGAUUGCAUACAGCAGGUCUGUUUUGCAAAAUGGGCUUGUUCAUAAGGUUAAUAUUUGCAUUAGUCCAUUUUCACGCUGCUGAUAAAGACAUACCUGAGACUGGGAAAUUUAUAAAGAAAAAGAGGUUUAAUGGACUCACAGUUCCACUUGGCUGGGGAGGCCUCACAAUCAUGGCAGAAGGUGAAAGGCACAUCUUACAUAGUGGCAGGCAAGAGAGAAUGACAGCCAAGCAAAACAGGAAAUCCCUUUUCAAGCCAUCAGAUCUGGUGAGACUUAUUGUCUACCAGGAGAACAGUAUGGGGGAAACCACCCCCAUGAUUCAAUUAUCUCCCAUGGGGUCCCUCCCACAACACGUGGGAAUUAUGGGAGCUACAUACAAUUCAAGAUGAGAUUUGGGUGGAGAAACAGCCAAACCAUAUCAAUAUUAAUAUGCCUAUUUCUUAAUGUAAAACAAAUUGUAAGGGACAAGAACAAAUAAUGGAUGAUGCUAAUAACAUCUUAUUAAAAUUGGAGAGUUUAGGUAAUUUAAAAUAAUUAUCAAGAAUACAUGGGUUUGCUGUUCUAGGAUAGUUGCCUAGUAAUGAGUUUCCCUUAGUAUCUGCAAGUAUUUUAUCCUUUCCUUAAAUGCAUUAAAAUGUGUCAAACAGUUUGGUUUUCAAUAGACAGAGGAGAAAAUUAUCUACUAAAUUUAACUACUUUCUGGCAGAUCAAUUAAGAAGAUAUUAAGUUCUGAGUUCAGAUUUUGUUAAAAGUGUGCAUUAGUUGAUGGUGAAAUAUAAAGACACUGAGUUCAAGAUCACUAACAAGGAGCUUGAGAAGUAGAAGAAGGCUGAAGAGUAUAAUCAUAUAUCAUGCAGAUGUUGGCUAGCUUAGGGGUACUGUCCAGGAAGAGGAAUUCUCUGCUGGUACUGGAGCCUCAUCCCUUGAUUGCCUAGGUGCAAGGUUUGGGCAUAUACAUCCUUCGUGUCUGAGAAGAUGUUACUCCUCAAAGACUUGGGAGUAGUUUACACAUAAAUGAGAGGAUUAAAAAAGGCACAAUAGAGGGGAAAUAAUUUUCCUCUUAUUUAUUUUCUGAAUACCUCCCUACCUAUUUCCUUCUUGUUAUAUGAGGUUUAUUCUCUUCAGUAAUAAACAAUUUAAAAAAAAACACUCAAAGCAGAUAUUGUAAAUUCACAGUAUUAAUGUUUUUAAUUUAUAUUAAAACAUACAAAAAUAGGUUUCUAAUAGGUAGACUAAUAUUCUUUCUGGCUUAAAAAUUGUUCCUCAUUUAAUAAUGUUUGAUCACACUGAGAUUAUACUUUAUUUUUCUGUUUGCAUCAUCUCUUUCUUAGUUUUAUCUUUCCUUCAUACCUUUCUCUUACAUCAGAUUUUUCAUCUUAGUCUUUCAGGAAUUUGUUUGUUUAUUUGCAGUUUGUACAAGAGAACACAUUAGAAAACGUAGGGCUCAGAACCCACUACCCGAAAGUAUGAUACUUUGGCAUGCUGAGUAUUUUAAACUGAAGGAGACUGGAAGACCUCAGAAGUGAGGUCUUUCUGAUCUUCUCCAAUCAUGUCUCCUACCUCUCUCUCUCCCUGGAAGUGAAACAUAGAAAUCAGUAUUUCUUUUCUCCAAGGCUGGUUACAGAAGCUAGAACUCAUCUUCCCCAAAGCAUGGCAUAAAACCUAGAAAGGUAACUCUCUCCCUUUUCCCUUGAAGACCCUCAUUGCAGGUGGUCAGUGCCUCAUACCCAGAAGGAAGAAGUGCUACAGAGAGGCCAGAAAGAAUCUGAUCAGACGGGCCUAGCUGGGUUCACCCUCUUAGUUUAUUACCAUUAGAUAUACCCUUUUAUCUAAUCACAUUUCUACAUAGCUGUCCAUUCUUCAUAGAAUCUAAGCAUAAAUGUGGACAGUUUUCCCUGGAAUUUGGGUCUUCAUUUCUAAAGGCUCUAGUGAGACAUAAAAUUUUGAUUAAUAAAUUUGUUGUGCUUUUUUGUUGUUAAACUGUGUUUGGUUUAUGAGAGUGUUGGAUGAGGAACAUUCACCCACUUACGAUGGGUGAGAAAAAGUAUCACACGUUUCUGCCCCUGCAGGACCAAAGUUGUUACAAAUAUAUUUUUAAAUCUUAAAAACGGAAUAGAUUAAUCCAGGAAAUAUCUAUUGCUAAUGCCAAAAAUGGUUCCUUUGGCACCGUGCAUGUAAUUGUGUGCCAGAACCUGAUGAAAGAGAAGUGAUUGUUAAGAGAAGGAAGAAGGACUAAUCAGAAUUGAGUUAAAUACUGGGAAAGAUAGAAGUCAAGAGAUGCUCGUCUAAUAAAAUGAGCAAAGCAGUUGCAUCCAGGUAGCCCCAGUUAGAGUUAUAUUUUCAUGAGAAGUUAGAAGAGUCAGACUAAGGAUACAGUUAGACUUGCCCACAUUUAAGGUCUGUUUGGUUAAUGAGUUAGAUUUGUUGACUCCUCCCUUUUCAAUUGUUUUCAAAAGAAAGUGGUUAAAAAUAUAUAGUCUGCAAAAAUGAAGUAUUUGUUCCAACUGAAAAAAACUAAAGCAAAUAAUUCAGCUUUUUGUUCUAUGUAUCCACAUGCACACAAACACACACAUAUUAAACACACAAAAAGUGAGAAAUUUAGUUUUCAGAAUUGCAGAAAUGCCUAAUAGGAAUAACAUUCUAAGGACCAGGAAGGCGCAGGAUCUAUUAAGUUAAAAACACUAACAAUAAAAAAAUAUAUAAAAAGGAAACAAAAACUAAAACACCUCAGCUACUUCAUUUUGAGUCUUAUGGAGGAAAACAACAAACAAAAUUAAUAUUUAAAGUUAAAAUUAAAAUUUCCAAAAUACAUUCUUUGGGAUGUUUUCAGCAAACAAUGUAAAAAAAUAAGCUUAUUUCCAAAUACAAACUUAUUUAUCAUCUAAUUCUAUUCAAUGGCAAAUUGGUGUUACUGUUUUAUUCGGUUUCACUGAGAUUUUCAAGCGUGUUUAGAAUUGAAAAGUGUUUUCUGUCUCUUAAGUGUGAUGACAAAACAUUAACUGAUCAUUUUUAUUCUGUUGACAAGACAAUCUACUUCAUGGAUUUAUAAAUUGCUCCAAGGCAAAGAUAAUCAUGUAAUUUUCUUAUCACAGCCAAUGUUAAUAAUUUAUUAUUAACAUUAUUUUUAAUUUGAAUACAAGUGGAAGGCAUCCCAAAGAAGGGAAUAUUGUAUAAUAUUCAGAAAAAAAUCUUAACUUCAUAAAAAGUGAAAAGUCACUAUUCUGUCUUUGGAUUUUUUUUUUUUUUUUUUUGAGCUAAAGAAAGAUUCAACAGAGCAUUUGCUAGCUCAUAUUCAGUUCCUUUGCUUUCCAUUUCAAUUAAAGAUUUAUUUUCUAUUUGUCAAGUUUUAAGAAAAAUUAACUGGCAGUAUGUUGAUGAAAUGUGUUUCACUAAUCAUCUACUCUCAGAAACAGUGGAAAAUUUUCUUUAAUAGGUGAUUUAUUUUGGUGAUACCAACUUUAUUCUAAUUUUGAAGCUAACUGGACACUCCACUUAUGUAUUGACAUGUUUAACUAAUUACAUCAAAUCACGCUAUGCAAGAAAAUUAAUACACAUUCCAUUAGUAGGAAUGAAUACUUACUUAAAGAUCAGGCCUGGCCACCUUACAACUCCAAAAGUUUGGGAAGUACACAAGAUAAAAUUGAUAUCUUUUUUUUAAAGAAAGGAAUGUCAACAGAUAAAAACAGAUCAAGUAGGUACCAGAAUAUCAUCAAAAUGUCACUUAGCAAAAAUCUAGUUUCAUUGGGAAUAUUCAAUAUUGUACAAAUCUUCAAAUAAAAGAUAAUUGCUAAUCAUACAGUGACUUAUGAAAACAUUUGUUACAGGAUUCAAUCUAAACAGAUUUUAUUAUAUCUAUAUCUGACAGAUAUAGUAAUGUUAAUAAGAGCCAACUGUUGGAAAUUGUACUGGAUAUUACAAUAUUGUUACACAGAAAUGGUUAUUGAACAAUAUUCGUUAAAAUGGGAGUUUAUACUAGUUGCAAUUAACUCCCACCAUUGGAAAUGCAUAUUUAUUUUAAAAUAUCCCAAAAAUACACACACAAAAACCUUAAUGCAUACAUAAAUAAAUCUUACUUCUUAGAUAUUUGAAUCAUUUUAAUUAGCCUUACUUUUGAGAAUAUUUCAUUUUGAGGCCAGAGAAUUGAAGUUUGUCCUUAACAUUAAUCUAACUGCUACUUAAGUGAUUCUCAUUUAGACUGUAGCUCUUUCAAUACAAAGGCCUAACUCCUUUUAAAGUUCUUUCCUAGAUCUCCUUCCCUGAAUAACAUAAAUAAUGUUGAGUAUUUGUUGAAUUGUAUCUAACAAAUAUCUGGAAUCACACCAUCUUCCAUUUAUAAUGAGAAGUUAGGUCUGUCAGAUAAAAAACAUAAUUUUAUGCUAAAACAGCAACAAAAUAAUGUAUUUUGACAUUUAUUUCAGCAUAUACCAGCUGUGUUUUUUUGAGACACAUACAAAUGUCCUCCAAAAUCGCCAUUUAUAAAUCCAGGUUUUUAAACGAAAAUAUUUUUUCUUAUGAAAGGCAUUUGUAAAUCUCAAGGAAAGAUAAAAUGUACUCUAGUCUUUGACAACUUGGUUUGUUGUUAUUGGUAGCCUAUGGUUAGUUUGUACUUACUAGAGUCCCUUAACGUUGGAUAUCAGGAACGGAUACUCUUAUUCAGGAGGAAUUGUCUGGUACAAAUGGCCAACUGUGUAUCUUUAGCUGUCAACACAAAACACUGGCAAAGCAUGUGAUAUAGCAAAGCAUGAAUAUCCCAGUAGAUAUGGUUAUUUAUGUUUCUAGAAAUAACCAAAACCAGACAAUGAGCGCCUGCAUUUGUAGACCUAAAUGGGAAUUUGCUUCCUUAUCAGGCGUAGUGAUAAAAAAGUCCUGUUGUUUUGUGGGUGUCUUGAAUACUGCCUGAGACUGGAAUUUGAUAGUGGGCACAUUACACCUCUAUAAUCAUUUCCGACAUCCAGCUAUGCCUCUCUGUGAAAUAAACCACAAAAAUUGGGCACUUUUCUGAAGACAAUAAUAGUAGCUGAGUUUUCUACAAAAUCAGAACAUAUUUAGUUUUUUCAGUAAAAAGCAUAACAGAUAUAAGGCUUGCUUUGAAAAUAAAGCGUUCCACCAGUAGAAGAAAUAGAUAGCUAUCUUGUGCACCCAAAAUAGAAUUCUGUACACCUUCCUUGGAACAUAGAUGAGACUACUUUAAAGAUGAUGGCCCAGUGGAACUUAGCAGUUGAUAGGCUAGGACCAACUGCUGAGUUGGUUUAACUGGCACAAACAUUGGCAUAGAAAGAGCACACUACUAUGUAUUAAAUCAAUAAAGCAAGGUAGCAAAGAAAUCAGGUCCAUCCAUAAAUGUUCACUCUUUGUAGAAUAGUGUCAUAUAAGUUCCUCGGUGGACUUGAGGUGUUUGAGGUCUGGGAAGCAUCCCUAAUCCUUCUCCUGCAAUCUCCACCCUCCAUGCAGCACCAAAUCACAGGUGACCCUGGAGUCUGGCAACUUCUCUCCAUAUGACCUGCCAAUAUCUUAGUCGAAGAUACUGUCAUCUCUUGCCUACGAUAGUCUUCUUUUUGGUCUCCUUUUGUCUACUGGGCUCAAUCUAAUUCAUCUUGUCCACUAAAUCAGAAGAUAUUUUAAAUCACAAACGAAAUGAUUACUCCUUCAUCCUACCACCACCACACCCUUAAAUCAUUCAAUGGCUUUCCAUUAGUCUUAUGAUAAAGACUAAAAUCUUUGGAGGAGCCUUGGUGGUACUUUAUAGUCUGACUCUGCCUCUCUCUUCAUUCUUAUCUUAACCCACAUACCCUCUGGCUCUCAGGAUGGCAGGAAUGCCAGGCAUCUUUCUGUGACAGAAAUGUCCCACAUUGUCCAUGCUGUUUCCCCUGCUUAGAAUGCUUCCUGCCCACCUCCUUUCCCUAGCGAAGUCCUGUUCAUUAGCAUUUGAUCAUUCAUUUCCUUAGGGAAAUCUUUCCCAACCUCCAUAUUAUGUACCGUGCUAUGAAUUCUUACAGUACUACAUUGCCCUCUUUUUGAAAGCAUGUAACUCCAUUUGAAAUAAUGAAUUCAUUAGUGUGAUUAUUUAAUUAAUGUCUGCUUUCCUCUUGGACUACACUUUUCAUGAUAGAAGGAAUGUGGCUAUUUUUGCCCAGUACUCUGUCCUUGGGACAAGGCAGAAAGUCUGUCACCUAGCACUAGCUCCAGAAAUACAGUUGUUGGAUGAAUGGAAGAAUUAACGAAUGAGACUCUGGGUCUCUUUCACAGAAGUGAGGAUGAACAGUGAGCAAACUAUACACAGAUUUUUGCCUAUCUUUUUAGCCUGUAUCAGUGUUUUAAGUAGUUUGCUGGGGUUACCUAUUUAAUUUGAAUACAUUAAUAUUUAUGAGGUAAAUAUAAUAAGUAUCUCUAUUAAUCUAAACUGAGUAUACCGAACUCUUGAUUUUUUUCCUCUCACUAUUACCUUUUAGAAGGUCAGCUGGUCUAACCAACUAAGCUCAUUUACUAUAGCCGAUAUCUACUAUCUUGAGAAAGAUGUGGAUAUUUCUAAUGCACAUCCAAUCACUUGCUGGUGGUAUAAUGAUUUUUGUGUUUAUAUAUCUCUCCUAAUUCCAAAAUGCCUGUAUAUUUAUUGUGUCAUUAUCUGAAAAUAUCCAGUGUGGUAGAUGUGUAUGGGUAUUAUCCCCAUUUUACUGCUGGAGAAAAGGUAAAACAUUUUGGAGGGCAGCUUGUCAUAUGAUACACUGUUUGUUUUUGUGGGGUUUUUGUUUGUUUCUCCCUACCAUGCAAUCCAACAAUGAACUCACAAAGGUUGCUGUACAACAGAACAUUUGCCUAGGAUAUCAUCACCUAGCUUUAUAGGAAUGUGAAGAAGUUGAAGAAUUAAGGUAAUAGGAAGCAGAACUAUCUGCGCUUUUUGGUAGCUUAGGAAAGUAACCAAGGAGCUGACUUACUGUUAAAUGAAAGAAAGCCAAGCUGUAGCAAUGUGAGUCAAAGUUCUGAGCUAGGGGAUCCCAGGAAAUAGAGGCCAGUAUUGGGAAAAUAUAGUAAGGGCACAUCAAUUGUUGAUUCUAAGUGUUUAAAAUUCAUUCUGCCAUAUUACUAAGCUCUUUUUUCUUUCAAGGAAGAGUCUUAUCAGUAGAAAUAUUAGCCAUGCCUUCAUAGUCCUUAUAUCUUACUAAUGUGCAUCUAUUUGCUAUCUACUGUUGACAAAAAAUGCCAAACCUGGUAAAACAUUUAAACAAGUUUAUUCUGAGCCUCAUAUUUGAGUGACCAUGGCUCAUGACACAGCCUAGGGAGGUCCUGAGAACAUGUGCCCAGGUGGUUGGGUUACAGCUUGGUUUUACACAUUUUAGAGAGACACAAGUUACAGGCAAAGACAUAAGUCAAUAUGUAUAUGUAUAUAUUGGUUCAGCCCAGAAUGGCAGAAUACCUAGAAGCUGGGGGUGGUGGGAAGGAGCUUCCAGGUCAUAGGUGGCUUCAAAGAUUUCCUGAUUGGCAAUUGGUAGAAAGAGUUAUGCUUUGCAGGAAGAGUUGAAGUCAUCAUAAAGAAAUGCUUGAGUUAAAAUACGGGUGAUUGUGAAAGCCAAGGUUCUUGUUAUAUAGAAGAAGCCUCUAAUUAACAGGCUUUACAGAUAAUAGAUGGUAAAUGUCUCUUACCUGACCUUAAAAGAUGUCAGACUCUCUGGAAAAGACCUACCAAGGAAAGGAAAGUUUACUAUGUGUCAGGAUGUCCUAGUUAGUUUAUUUUAUUGAAUUCUCAUUAACAACAACAAAAUGAAGAAGAAAGCAGAAGUGAAGCUUUUGAAGCUUAAGCUGCCAGGUCCUUGCUUGUACUGCCUCCUUCACAACCCCAAACCCCCACAUUUCCCCAAGAGAUGGCUUUGCAGGGCCAUUUCAAAAUCUGUCAAAGAAAAUAUAUUUUAAGGUAAAAUACUUUGAUUUCCUUCAGGGCCUGCUUUCCGUCAUGUGAUGCUAUACCAGAGUCAGGUUAGAGCUGAGUAUCUUAUCACUACAAAGAAUCUGUUUUGUCUCUUAUGAUCUCUAUUUUAAUGUUAAAUCUGGUCAGUUGUGCCCAAACUCCAAAAGGAGGAGAAUAGAGUGAGGCAGGUCCAUUGCCCCCCUUCACAUCAUGGCCUGAACCAGUUUUUCAUGUUUCUUUGGGAUCCCCUUGGCCAAGAUGGGUUCUUUCAGUUGACUGGGGGGUAUUAGAAUCUUAUAUUUGGUUCACACUGCCAUGCAAUGUAAUGGUUAAAAUCAUAAUUUCUAGGGUUACAUGAUCAGGGUCCAGAACAUUUCUUCAUCUGUUCCUAGUUCUUGUUAACUUGAAUUCAAUGUUUCAGUUUCUUCAUCUGUAAAACAGGGAUUCUAAGUAUAGUUUCAGGAAUGAAUUCAUGUUUUAUAGAGUCUGAAGAUUAGAUUGCAUAAUAGGGAAGGGUGUCUCUUUAUUAAAAAAUAAAAAUAAAUAAAAAAAUAAGCAUACAUACAGCCAGGCGUGGUGGCUCACGCCUGUAAUCCCAGCACUUUGGGAGGCCGAGGUGGGUGGAUCACGAGGUCAGGAGAUCGAGGCCAUCCUGGCUAACACAGUGAAACCCCGUCUCUACUAAAAAUACAAAAAAUUAGCCGGGCGUGGUGGUGGGUGCCUGUAGUCCCAGCUACUCGGGAGGCUGAGGCAGAAGAACGGCGUGAACCCGGGAGGCAGAGCUUGCAGUGAGCUGAGGUCGCGCCACUGCACUCCAGCCUGGGCAACAGAGAGAGACUCCGUCUAAAAAAAAAAAAAAAAAAAAGCAUACAUACAAAGUGCCCACAGGCGCACAGCUCAGAAACCUCUCUUUCUGGGGUUUGGAAGGAGGCUGUCCAAGCAAGGACCUGGCAGCUUAAGCUUCAAAAGCUUCACUUUUGCUUUCUUCUUCAUUUUGUUGUUGUUAAUGAGAAUUCAAUAAAAUAAACUAUGCAGCACAUCCUGACACACAGUAAACACUUCUAAGUACGAGUCUUCAUCCUCAUUAUUACUUUUACUAUAACAUACAAAUGCUUAAAGAGUAAAUAAUUUCUAUUUUUGAUUCAUAAAAUUUUAAUUUUAUUCUUUUGAGGCUACCUGCUGGAGAGAACUAAAGUUAUUAGUGAAAGAGUGGUGCAUGUUAAGGAAUGAGCUUCUUUGUUCUUUUGUUUACAGAACAAAGUAUAUCAAGCAGCUACUAUGCUCCAGGCAAGGAAUAGGGAGGGGAGGGACAUACAAAUGAAAAAUUCAAAACAAAUUUAAAGAUGCAUAAUAACAAAUGUGUGUGAGUGCCAUGGAGCUAAUAAGAGGAUGCUAGUAUAGAGAAUAAUGGGGAGAGACACUAAUUGGCCCAGAUGCAGAGAGACACUAAUUGGCUCAGAUAGUAAAGGGAGACCUGGCUGGAGGAGAUAAUCAUUAAGUGGGAAUUUGAAUAUUAUAACAGAUCCUGUAAUCACCUGACCACUGCACAGACAAAAUCAGUUCACUGAGACUGUGGUACUGCAGUAAAGAAAGAGUUUAAUUAAUGCGAGGCUUGCCAUGUGAGAGAACUGGAGUUAUCACUCAAAUCAGUCUCCCCAAAGGCUGAGAGCUUAGGGUUUCUCAAGAGCAGUGGGCUAGAGAAUGGGUGUUGCUGAUUGGUUGGGGAUGAAAUCAUAGGUGUGUGGAAAACAUCCCUCAUGCAUUGAGUCUGCCUCUGGAUGAGGGGGCACAGGACCAGUUGAGUCAUGAGUCACAAGUCCUGUUGGCAUCAGUUGGUUGCCAGAAAGCCUAAAAAAAAAAAUCUCAAAAGGCUAAUCUUAGGUUCCAUAAUAAUGAUAUUAUCUGUGGGAGCAUUUAGGGAAGUCACAAAUCUUGUGAUCUUUGGCCACAUGACUCCAAAGCAGUAAGGUAUUAUGCCUACAUCUUAGCAGAAUUCAGGCCCCUCCAAUUCUCCAAUUAUCUUAAUCUCAUGGCCUUUCAUUCGUUUUCAGUCCCUGAGCAAGGAGGGUUUUAGUUUUAGGGAGAAACUAUUAUUAUCCUUGCUUCCAUGUUACACUAUCAACUAAAUUCCUCCCAUAGUUAGCUUAGCUUAUGCCUAGGAAGAAGCAAAGCCCAGCCAGCCUCUGAGGAUGGAAGCCACAUGGAGUCUGCUGUGUUCAAUUCCUCUCACUGCUAUUAUCUUUGCAAAAGCAGUUUCAAUGCCCUGAAGAGACGCUGGGAAUAGCAUUCCAGACCAAAAAAAAGUCAUGUGUGAAGGCUCUACUAGAAAGAACAUGACACAUUCUAGGAAUCUAGGCACCAUAAAUAGGCCACAUGUUACAAGAAUGAUAUGAGAGCCAGUGACUAAUUGAUCAUAAAUGCUUUAGUGAGAUAAAUUCCUAAAGGAACAAAUAACAGAUUUUGAUGGAGUCAAACACCUAAAGCUUGGAUUUGCUGCUGGAAAAACAUCUUCCUCUAUAUUACUAUGAGCUCUUAGCAUAGAAUUGCCUUACUUUACCUCUUCUGCUGGCUUAUGGAAGCAAGCUUGGAAAAGUCCAGGGCCUAGUGUGCUAAUCUCUUUCUGUCUCAGACAGACAUAUUAAAAUGAACUAGAUUAAGUAAUACCUAAUGAGCACCCUUAAGUGUAAAAUAAUAGUUGCUUUAAAAUAAUUUUUAAAAAAUAAACUAUAUUGUCAACAUUAAAUUAAGGGCAGAAAAAUGUAUUAAAGUUCUAAAACUACAGAAUGAAUAAUUGAAAUAUUCUAACCUAGAAGAGUAAAAAAUUGGUGAAUGUCAUUAAAGGUUUCUAACAGAAGAUCCACUUAGGAAGAGAAGUGGGAUACAAAUUGCUAGUAAGAAAAGGGAGAGGGGGAAUAGAAUAUACGUAUGUUUAAAACUUCCAACAUCCUUUUCCUAGCCCCUGAUCUAUGCAAAAUGAAGUCUUACUAAGUCUCAAAACAGUAUUCUUUACAUUUCAUUUUCUUUCUUUUUCAAUCAUUGUUUUUGAGAAAAUCCUAAACCAAAGCAAAAAAGAGAGAAUCUGCCAGUGAAGCAGCUGAAGUUUCAGGAAAUAACUAAACCAUCCCAUGCUCACCCCAAAAAGUAUUCAUUUGACUCUUUUUUUUUCUUUUUUUUUUUUUUGUAAGACAGGUCUUGCUCUGUCACCAAGGCUAGAGUUUGGUGGCAAGAUCAUACUUCACUGUAACCUGGAACUUCUGGGCCCAGGUGAUACUCCUGCCUCAGCCUCCUGAGUACCUAGGACUAUAGGCUCAUGCCACUGCACCAGGAAUUUUAUUUAUUUAUUUAUUUUUAUUUUUUUAGAGAUGUGGUCUUCCUAUCUUGCUCACGCUGGUCUCAAACUCCUAGCCUCAAGCAAUCCUCCCACCUUGGCCUCAGCCUCCCAACAUGUUGGGAUUACAGGUGUGAGCUAUACCACUCCUGGCCCCUAGGAGCUAAUUUCAUCUUGAUGUGAAGAGUAAAGUUGCUAUGUAUUUUUGUGGAGGCAGCCAGUUAAUGCUUGUUAAACAAACAACAACAACAACAACAAAAAACAAUAUAUACAAAGGCACCUACAGAAAAUCUCAUUUCAGACAUCCCUAUCAAUAUAAAUAGUAUCACCAUGGCAAGCAAGUGCAUUGUUCAUGUGUGUCCCAGUGUUACUUUGAUGAUCUAUUAAAUCAUCAAGUAUAUUUUUGUGCCAUAUGAAAAAUACACAUCUUUCCUGUUAACUCUUGCAUUCGAUCAAUUGUAAGAUUUACCCAAAAGGGUCUAACUGUCCACAAAAUUGUCCCUGCCUUUUAUCAUUUUUGCUUUCUUUCAGGGUUCAUUCUUCCAAGUUGUUAAAGGGUGUCAGUUAGAUUGCAACAGAGGUUGCAACUCUCAUUAAUCCAGGAAUCACAUAAAAGUAUUCUCAAUUUCUACCACUGCCUCCAGUUAGAAGCCUUUCUGACUAUUGAUGCCUGUAACUAUGUAAAUGUGCGUGAUUUAGGGGAAUUGCUAACCUGGCCAUAUCUAUCAGGCUGACUUGAGAAAGGGCACUGGAGCUAUCUCAAUAAUGGCAUGGUCUGGCUUUAAGGAUUAAGGUUACUAUUUUUCUGGGGAAGAUUUCUCCCUAAUGAUACAAUUCAAAGUGAAAUUCUACUUGUUUCUUCAUUUAAAAUGAGACUAGAGUCUGUCUUUUCAUCUCUCAUAUAGAUAUAGAUAUAGAUAUAGAUAUAUAUAAAACAGUUCUUCAAUAGAUACUGAGUUAAACUACAUACAUUCCUAUCUAUCAUCAUUCCUAGGAUGAGAACAACAGUGAAAUGGAUACUUAUAUCUCUGCAUGAUCUGUUUUGACCAUGAAAACAUGGCCACCUACACAAACCAUUUGGUUCUUAAUGAGCCAUAAUAUCUGUACUGGGUAAAUGAACACAAAAAUAGUGGUUUAGAAACAAGCAUUUCAAACAGUUGUGUUUGUAUUGCCUAAGAGCCUCACAGGGCCUGUAGAGUUUAUUAUGAACAUGUCAUAGGUCUUACACUGGGAUGAGGCUUUUGUGUUUUUUUUUUUUUUUUUUUUUUGUUUUUUUUUUUGGUGCACGUUUGAACAACAAAUGGCAUCUUCACAAGUCUCAAAAGCUUUUAUGGGCAUUUCAGGUCCUAACAUUUUCACAUACGUUGGUUUGACUGCUGGACAGUAAUGUCUUAUGCUAAAUUAGUAAGGGACAAAUUUCAAUAGAUAUUUCAUAUUAUUUUUCUGAAAAUUGUAAAUUCAUAAACAUUAUUUUCUGGACUUUUCUUUUUCCUCCCUGUGGUCAUCACCUACCAUUUAUCUGAUUAUGACUCAAAAGGAAACAUGUGUGUUGAUUUAGACUGCUUCAACAUUCCAGUUCCAAUCUGAAGCUAUCUAUCUUCCCAAAUGGAAUGUUAUGCAGACCUCUUGUCCUCCCUCCUGCUUGUUGUGGCAGAGAUUUAUACUUGUAAUUUCCCAGAACAUUUGAAUUAGAGAUGUGAGCCCCGAUGCCAACUGUCUACAGGUUGAAGUUAUAAAGAGGCUUAGGCACAUCAUGUUGAAGGGAGCAAUUUGGGAAGGAUAAAGCUGUUGAUGAAUGGCCAAAAAAGGACAAGUUAAGGGGAAAAAUUGGAACCAAAGAGCCCAGAUUGUGAGUUCCUUGAAAGAAGAAUCUGUGUCUUGUGCACCAUUGUUCUUCCUUACCUGUAACAGAAACCCUGGCACCAG